rnacentral:lncRNA from 1 species
CUGUGGCAUAUGGAAGUUCCCAGGUAUGUGUGUGUGUGUGUGUGUAUGUAUGUGUGUGUGUAUAUAUAUAUCUGACAGCCUAUGCCACAGCCAGAGCAACUUGAGAUCCACCACAUAUGAGACCUACACCGCAUGUCAUGGCAAUGCCAGAUCCUUAACCCACUGAAAGAGGCCUGGGAGCUAACCUGAGUCCUCGUGGAUACUAGUUGGAUUCAUUACUGCUAAGCCACAAUGGGAACUCCAAUAAUUACUAUUGAUGUGCUUCUGUUCAAAGUGUAGUAGUCUUUGUCAGGAGCUCAGAGUUCAAGUCUCUGCUCUGAAUCUGAUCAACUUUCAUUUCGAGCAAUUCCCUGAUUAUCACUGGACUUAGUUUUGCCAUUUUUAGAACAAAAAGGAUUGAAUGAGGGCUAAGGGCCUUCUCAGCUCUAACAUAUGAAGAUUGUUAAAGACCAAGUGCCAGUCCAUUUAUGUCUAUGUGGUGAAUUAAAGAUAACCAGCAGAUCUUUGAGGCUCCAUCCAUUAAAAUGUUGUCUACUCCCCCAAGUCUUGAAUCUGUGCAGGGUCUAUGAUUACUCUGUUAGAAUGUGUCAGAAGUUAUGUCGUGCCUCUUUCCAUCUCUUGGAGCAGCCAGUCAUUAAGCUUUAAACUGCUGUUUUAGAAUUUUGACCAUCCUGUGGGACAGACCACACCAGAGACCCUGAGAACUCACCAUGGGUGAUUAUAGCACUUGUAGGGCCACUAUUUCUGUUAAGGCAGCAGAAACAUGAGUGAAGGCAUCUUGCAUCCCCCAGCCCAGCUCAGUCAAUGCAAUACCACGCAGUAACCAUAUUUGAUUCCAUUUAGAGGAGAAAAAUCUUUCAGCAAAGUAGGCUUGAAUUCCUGGCUUAAAGGUCAUGGAUAGAUUACAGUGACUAAGGUUUUCUUUUAAGCUACCCAGUUUGGUGUGGUUUGGAAUGAAGUGAAUAGCCAGAACCAAUUCCACUUCUACGCAAGGCUGUAGACUGCCAAGCUUGCAUUCCUGCCCAAAACAAUUGCAGAAAAUAUAAAACAACAAACAUAAACAAAGUGAGUGAUUGGAUCUUCUACAAAUUCAAGGGGAAAAGAAGUUUGUAGUUGGAAAGAGAAUGUCGGAUCCUCAAGGUUUGUACACACCUUAGCCCAAUUAAGAAUAUCCCAAAAUGAGAACAAGUAGGAAACCCAGCAGGAGUUGAAUGAAGGUGCUGACAGAGCCAAAAGUAGGUCUCAUAAUUGGGGCCUUCUCUCAGGAGGUUGGUCUGGCAGCAUAAUACUCUUCACACCAGGCCUAGUAUUGCUGAAAGAGUAUAAUCAACACAAUUUAUUCUUUUGUCCCUUCCCUACUUAUUGAAUAUUUUUGUUCCUCUGACUUGAGAAAUAAACUCUACUCUGAUGGUGGAAUCCUGAAUUUGGAAGAGUGUCUAGGCCUCACUCUGGAACUGUAUGACAAUCAAUUGCAUGUAACCAGUAAAACUAGUUAGUGGAAUAUUAAAACUGGCUAGUGGAAUACUUCAUAUAAAAUGAGUUCAUUAUGAUUAUUUUUAUUAAAUAGUUGCUUUACAAUAAUGUCCCAAUUUCUGCUGUACAGAAAAGUGGCCCAGUCAUAUAUAAACAUAACAUAUAUAUAUAUAUAUAUAUCCCUUUCUUAUUUUAUCUUCUAACAUGUUCUAUCCUAAGAGACUAGAUAUAGUUCCCUGUUCUAUAUAUUAAGACCUCAUUGCUUAACCAUUCUAAAUGUAAUAGUUUGCAUCUACUAACCCCAAACUCCUAGUCCAUCCCACUCCCUUAUCCUUCACCCUUGGCAACCACAAGUCUGUUUUGUCUAUUCUGUAUGUCUGUGACUCUAUUUCUCUUUUGUAGAUAGGUUCACCUGUGUCGUAGUUUAUAUUCCACACAUUAGGGAUAUCUUAUGAUAUUUAUCUUUUAGAAUGAGUUUAUUAAGUAAAAGACUAACUUUUUUAACCUAUUCUGCAAUUUUUCAAUGAGUAAAUAUGCUCAGGAAGUAAGAAUCAAUAAAAUAUUAUGUGCAAGAACAAGUAUUUGUAGGGGACUCUGAAAAUCUGACAACUAAACUGAAACUUUUAAAAUCCGACAACCACCUUCCAACUAAAGUCAGACCAUGGAAGGAGCACUCCUAGAGAGACUCAUGGGAACUACAGGCUCUGGAGAAGCUGUUUUCUCUAUGCAGUUGACUCCAAAGUAGGCCCACAGCCAAGUGCCUGGUAGUAAACUUGGGAAUACUUUGAUCAGCAGGAUGGGUACUUGGGAAGAGAAACAGGAGAGAGCAGCUCCAGUCGGGACCCUCUGGCACCUCUUUAUUGGUCUGUCACCAUGUCUGAUUGUGAGGAAUUUCUGAGACUAUGAUUUUCUGUUUUCGUCAUCUCCAAAAACUCUCACAAUUUCUUUUGGCCAGUUCUAACUUAGAAUCUUAUAGGGUAUGUGCUUCCAGGAAAAUAAUUCCCAGCUUGAGCCCAGUUAACAACACACAACCCAAGACCGUGUGUCAUGUAAAAUUUUAGGAGCUUGAUAUUUUCUUUCUGGAACAAUAAAUACUUUAUGGCCUUCCUCCCACCCUCAUGCUAUACGGAAUGCCACAAAUGAAAAUUAGAGAAGGGAGAGAUCAGUCAAAUUUUCAUGUUAAUGUAAAAUUAAUAUUAAACUAAAGGACACAUUUAAACAUUACACAAUACCUACUGGCAUUGUGAAUGCAAUCAGUAUAUUACACUAUACCUAGGGCAAAGGCAUAAAUCUUCAUUAAUGUUUGUGAAGAUUAAAAUUUUCACAAUUUUAAGAAUUAUAAUAUUUCCUCCCAUAUACUUUAAUGCUCCCCUUACUUUAAUGCUGUUUUCAGAGGGAUCUUAUGGAGAGAAAAGAUAGUAAAAAAGUUUCAAAUUGGAGAACUUCAACUUCAUUAUGGAGGUGUCUGUACUCAGUAUAAUCGAAAAUCGGUUCUCAUUUGGUAACCUGAUUUAAACCUUUUAGGUUCUUCACAUCAUGAGACAUACAGUACCUGUUUCUAGCCUGGAAAACUAGUCAGGGAUAUCUUAACUCCAAAAUGUCACCUUAGCAUCAUCUAGGAUCAGAAUGUUAAAAAGACUAUAUACUGUAUAGCAAGGAGAACUAUAUCCAGUCUCUUGGAAUAGAAUAUGCUUGAAGACAGUAAGCAAAAAACAAUGCGUGUGUGUGUGUGUAUAUAUAUAUGAAUGACAGGGUCACUAUGCUGUACAUCAAAAACUGGCACAACAUUGUAAAUCAACUAUACUUUAAUUUUAAAAAGAAACUAUAUGCAUCCCAAUAUCUCAGCUCUAUCUAUUUCUGCCAUUUAAAAGGUAUGAGCAUUCUGGGUAUAAGAGGACUACAAGAGUUUCUCAGGGAAUCAAGAAAAGCAACAAGGACACAUUCCGGAUGAACUGCAGAAUUUUCCAAUGGGUGUGUGGUUAAGCUCAUUUUAAAUCUUUUUGAUUGGUCUUGUAAGCCCUACUUAAACCAAACCUAACAAAAAAAAUAGGUCAAACUUUAUAAAAGAGGCCAGAAGUUUAGAAUUUUUUUAAGUUGACACUGAUUGAUAAAGAAAGGUUAUUAUAAGGCUUCUGCAGAAGACCUGGGGGGCCAUCUAGAAUUUUGUGAAUAAAACAUGGUCAUUUCAGACAGACAUAAAUAUAUUUAAUGUAUAUAUGUGUGUAAAUUUGCCCCUCUAAAGCACUCUGAAUUCCUUUGAUCCUUGUGGAUAUAAAAAAACACUCUUUGGAUGUCCCUCCACUUCUAAGUCAGAAUAUCUGCUAUAUUGACUUGGACCAUAGGUGAUCUUCUACCUUCCUACCUUCUGGGAUGAAGCAGUUUCUUAUCUUCAAUUUUUUCUCUACAGGAUGCAAGAUAUUCAUCAUAUCUAUUCCACCUAAUCUUCAGACAGAAUGUAAAUCUUCCUAAAGGAACUAGAAUCAUCCUUUAAAGCCUUGAACUUAGCUACAGAAUGAUUCAAGCAGAGACAGUAACUCCCUUAUCAGUGAUCCUUAAUUUUGACUCACAGAUCUUGGCUCUAUAGGAGACAUUUCUGUGUCUGUGUUCAGGCAGUCCCAGGGUUCCCUGAUGAGACUGAUAGAAAAGGCAUUGACUUGCAUCAAUUGUGAUGAUAGGUUUUAUGACUGGACUGAGAUCAGAAAUUCAUUUUACAGACCACUGAACAAUUGCUAAAUGCCUGCUCACCUCAAUUUCCAACCAUUCACUAAUAAUUUUAGUCCUGGGGUGGAUUUUAUGAAAACUGGUCAAAUGCCACAAGAGUGGAAAUUUGAAUUACUGGAAAAAUAAGGAAAAUUUUGCUUUAAUAUAUGAAUUCAUUUUCUUCUAAAUUUUCUUUUCAAUUUAUUUGUUGUGAAAUCUCUCAUUAAUCCAUAAUAGCACUAAUUUCACAUAUUAACACUCUCACUGCCAUUUUAAAUGAUGGGCUUUGUAAUGGACUGAAAUAAAAUUGAAAUAAAAGUUAAUUUACCAUAUAUUUUAUCUUCUCUCUGGUAUUCCCAUUUUUAUACGUUUAGACUGUUAAAAAGAAAAUAGUCCUUUACAACAAGCAUUUAAUAGACUUUAAAUGUAAUAUCUGUUUUAAAUAUUUGUAAAUACUUAUCAAAACUCUUAGUGUGUGAUGUGAAUUUUGACCUGUGCGAAUCAUAACAUGUUUGCCAGCUAAAUUAGAAUUACAAAAAUAUGUUGAUAAAUUACUUAUGGUAGAUUAAAUUGUCCUCUAAAUUUCAGUGGUUUAAAAAGCAAUAAAAUUAUAUUUUUCUUAUGUGUAACAGUCCAGGAUGCGGUUGCAUAUUGGCUCCAUGUUCAGGAUCCCAGAGUGCUGCAUAUAACAUUUGUCUUUCAAGACAUUGACAAGUCCGAUUAGCUGAAAAAGGUAAAAUUAUGAAGGGGUAUAUUUGAAAUAUUAUGGAGAAAGUUUAGAAGAAAAAAAGGAGUUAAUAGCAAGAGAAUUCAUGGAUGGGAGAAUAUGCAUGCAAGGGGUACCUUUGUUAGGACCUUUGAUUCUGGGUGACAGAAACCUAACUCCAAGGGGCUAAGAGAGGGAGGUGGAUGUACAGGCUUAUGAGGCUAAAAUGCCCAGAGAUAGACCACGUUGAGAUAUGGCUGAACCCAUGACCCAAAAAGUGUCAUAAGGUUACAUCUUUCCUCUGUCUUAGGUUCUGAUUUCUACUCUGUUGGCUUCAUUUUUAGCAGGUUCUAUACAUGUUGCUACCUUCACAAGACUAGAGAAACAUUCUCACAGUCUCACUGACACCAUUAAAAAAUUUUCAUUUUAGUAUUACUCCCUCCUCCACCUCCAAAGACCCUUAAUACUUAGUAUCCUUAGCUCUGUCUGACCAUGUCUGGGUCACUUGCCCAUCUCUGCAACCAGGGGAUAUAUUUUAAUUCAAUUGGAAUCAUCUGGACCAAAAAAAAUGGUAUAGGCAUGUUCUCCAAGAUAUUUAGAUGCUUUAGUUAUGAAAAUACAGGAAGCCUAAAUCAUAAAUCAUCAAAUGUCAUCUACCCUUAAGGAAAAUCAUAUUUUUAGGGUAAUACGUAAACUCUUUAAUAUGAAAAUUAUCCUAUUUCUCUACUUAGUUUUUUUUUUUUGCAUUCAAAUAUAGUAUUUUUAAAAUCAUGGAUUCAUGUCUCCUAGGAGUAAUAAACAAAUUCUUUGUGUUUCAAGACCAACCUAAAAUCUAUAUUUUGAUAAGAAAGUACUCAAUUUUCAAAAUAUGACUUAGGCCACACCAACAAGUUUCUGCAGGUUGACUCAGGCCACCAUUUUUCAACUUCUUGCCUUAAGCCCAUAAAAAGGAUGAGCUGGAAAUUUCUUCUAGAAUCAGAAAUGCUGAAGGUUGGUAAUUGUGUGU